AAGACUAUAGACCUGCGGAGUACCUGCGGAAGGAUCAUUAACGUACCUAUGAUGGGGUGCGGAGCGCCCUGCUCCGGUCGAACGGCCGUGCAGCGGGUGCGCCGCCCCCGUCCCACCUCACAAACCCACUGUGAACAUUCACCGGUGGAGGGGGCUCGGUCUGCGCCGUGUCCCCGAUGCCGAAUACCCAAACUCCAGUUGCAAAGAACGUCGUGCGGACUCGGUGCCGCCUAAAACAUG
rnacentral:misc_RNA from 1 species